CCCAGGGUUUCGCUUCGCUCCACCCUGGGCUGUAGGAUGUCGCGCCUUCAGCGCU
rnacentral:sRNA from 1 species